rnacentral:pre_miRNA from 1 species
UAGCAGCACAUCAUGAUUUGUAUGUCAUAGUAAAUAUGCAAGUCAUUAUUUGCUGCUUUA